AGUGAACGCUGGCGGUAGGCCUAACACAUGCAAGUCGAACGGCAGCACAGUAAGAGCUUGCUCUUACGGGUGGCGAGUGGCGGACGGGUGAGGAAUACAUCGGAAUCUACUUUUUCGUGGGGGAUAACGUAGGGAAACUUACGCUAAUACCGCAUACGACCUACGGCUGAAAGCAGGGGAUCUUCGGACCUUGCGCGAUUGAAUGAGCCGAUGUCGGAUUAGCUAGUUGGCGGGGUAAAGGCCCACCAAGGCGACGAUCCGUAGCUGGUCUGAGAGGAUGAUCAGCCACACUGGAACUGAGACACGGUCCAGACUCCUACGGGAGGCAGCAGUGGGGAAUAUUAGACAAUGGGCGCAAGCCUGACCGAGCCAAGCCGCGUGGGUGAAGAAGGCCUUCGGGUUGUAAAGCUCUUUUGUUGGGAAAGAAAAGCAGCAGGUUAAAACCCCGCUGUUCUGACGGUACCAAAAGAAUAAGCACCGGCUAACUUCGUG
rnacentral:rRNA from 1 species